AAAGAUUCUCUCCUGAAAAUGUAGCCAGGUUUAAUAGCCAGGACAGGCAGGAUUAAAAGCCAAGUCUCCUAAGUCACACUUUGCUUCCCCAUCACUUACACCUGGAUGAAAUGUUGAGUUCCUUUAUGGAUGCUUUCAUUCCACUCUGCUCAGUCCUGAAUGCACAAAUCCAAAAUGUUCCUAAACCUCUGUUGUCAGAACUAGGUUUUGGAGGUACUGCAAAGAGAAGCGAGAGGCCAGAACAGGUGACAUGCUUAAUGUGCCAGAUCACAUGGGAAUAGCACAUGAUGCACCCUGUGUGUCACAGGGCACUGGAAAGGCUGAGUGGCUGCUCUAUUUCACAGCCAGCAGUGAAAGCAUCCUUUCCAAGAAUGUUUGCAUGUUGGGAGCUUCUUGAUAGCUGUUCUGAAAAGCUGAUGAGGCAAGCGACAGUGCGUUAUUUUUCUCGGCCCCAGUCAGCUCUUGAGUGCCCAGCUUGGGCACCUCGGCUUCUCUUCGGGGCCAGCGCUUGUCGCUAUUUCCAGGCGCUUCUGCUGCCGCGCUCCGGGGCGGGCUGGCCGCGCUUUGCCAUUGGCGCAAGGGAGGAAACAAAGGUAGGGAAAACGUCCAAAUCCGUCCGCGUGGCGGCUGGAUGCUUUAAU